rnacentral:tRNA from 1 species
AAGGGUAUAGCUCAGUGGCAGAGUACAAGCCUAGCAGGUAUGAGGUCCUGGGUUCAAUCCUCAGUACCUCCA